GGGUUGUGAGGUUAAGCGACUAAGCGUACACGGUGGAUGCCCUGGCAGUCAGAGGCGAUGAAGGACGUGCUAAUCUGCGAAAAGCGUCGGUAAGGUGAUAUGAACCGUUACAGCCGGCGAUGUCCGAAUGGGGAAACCCAGUGCAAUUCGUUGCACUAUCGUUAACUGAAUACAUAGGUUAACGAGGCGAACCGGGGGAACUGAAACAUCUAAGUACCCCGAGGAAAAGAAAUCAACCGAGAUUCCCCCAGUAGCGGCGAGCGAACGGGGAGCAGCCCGGAGUCUGAAUCAGCUUGUGUGUUAGUGG
rnacentral:rRNA from 1 species